rnacentral:lncRNA from 1 species
AGAAGAAGUAAUUAGAGAGAUAAUGGAUCUGGCGAUUACCUCGAAGGAGGUGGAGAUCGGAUCGGAGAUGACGAUUCUAAGCACGGAUCGGGAGCGCCGGAGACAAGAUUUGGCAAACCGAAUAGAGUUUUCCAAUGGGGAUUGAGGGGAAUUUCAAGGGACUGAAUUUUUUUUACCUCCAAGAACCGGAGACGGGAAGAGAAGCCCAACGGAGGGCGGAGGAGAGGGGUCGGGGGCCAGGAAGAAGCAAAUGCGUCAGGUAGCCUCCAGGACGGUUGAGUGUUAGUGGCUGGGCUCCAGUCGGAACUGGGCCACCUCCGGCCCAAGCCCAGCUUUGCCUCCAGAGCCUCGUCGCCUUGGGUUCGCAAGACAGGAUGGUAGGGUGAAAAAUAUAUCUACCUAAACUCGAUCUAUUUCUUGAGUAGAUCAAACUUUCAGUUCUAUUAACAGAUAAUCAGAC